UGGUGGAGCGAUUUGUCUGGUCAAUUCCGAUAACGAACGAGACUCUAGCCUACUAAAUAGUUCGGGGACCCCCACAAAGGGGCCCCGCUUCAACUUCUUAGAGGGACAGGUGGUGUUUAGCCACACGAGAUUGAGCAAUAACA
rnacentral:rRNA from 1 species